ACGUAGAAACACUGGUUCCCGUACGACCUCCGAAGUUAAGCAACAUCGAGCCUGGUCAGUAACUAGAUGGCUGACCGCUUGAGAAUACUAGGUGCCGUU